rnacentral:tRNA from 1 species
AAGGAUAUAGCUCAGUGAUAGAGUAUGCGCUUAGUAUGCACGAGGUCCUGGGUUCAAUCCCCAGUACCUUA